rnacentral:rRNA from 1 species
AACGAACGCUGGCGGCAUGCCUAACACAUGCAAGUCGAACGAGACCUUCGGGUCUAGUGGCGCACGGGUGCGUAACGCGGGGGAACCUGCCCUUAGGUUCGGAAUAACUCCCCGAAAGGGGUGCUAAUACCGGAUAAUGUCUUCGGACCAAAGAUUUAUCGCCUUUGGAUGGGCCCGCGUUGGAUUAGGUUGUUGGUAGGGUAAAAGCCUACCAAGGCGACGAUCCAUAGCUGGGCUGAGAGGGUGAUCAGCCACACUGGGACUGCGACACGGCCCAGACUCCUACGGGAGGCAGCAGUGGGGAAUAUUGGACAAUGGGCGAAAGCCUGAUCCAGCGAUGCCGCGUGAGGGAUGAAGGUCUUAGGGUUGUAAAGCUCUUUUACCCGGGAUGAUAAUGACAGUACCGGGAGAAUAAGCUCCGGCUAACUCCGUG